ensembl:lncRNA CCDC26 CCDC26 long non-coding RNA
ACAUAAGAGACAGAGCAAGUAAAAUAUUACGCUACAGUGCUACUGGCCCAUAAUCAGGCAACUGCAGAGUCUUAGGGGGUUAUCUAAUGUAGUCUUGGGGUGGCUGGAUAGACUUCCCAAAGAAGGUGAUGCCGAAGCUGAGGUCGGAAAUUACGAAGAUCAGCUAUGGCGUCUCAGGGUCUUGACCACCUCAAGCCAGGUGAGACACCUUACAGGAUGUCUCCUAAGCUGAUCAGUCUAUGAACAUUUAGUGACCUACAGAAUCUCCCUGUGACAUCUGUUCACUGGGCAACAGCAGCUCACAGACACCCACUGAGAAGGCUCUUCCGGCUUGGCAGUCCCAGGGGUAGGUGGUAAUCUCCUCCCCGAAUUUCCCAACAAGAAGAAAUUAACCAGUAGAAAAAAAGCUUGUACAAAGAAACAUCUACUUGUUUCCAAAGUUAUUUGGGUCAGCAUUUUCCUCCACCCACCACUUAAAACUGAUUUGUUUCAUACAUUUGAAAUGUAUGAAAAGCCAGAAAUCCAGGACCCACCCUGGCCUGCUCCCUUUUUCUCACCUACUGUGUUAAGGAUAAGUCAAUUGAGCUUCACUUCUCUAAUUGAAAUCACCGUGCUGAUGGAGUCUGUCUGUGGAAAUGAAAGGUGGCUACCAUAAUCUGUUGGGAGUUGAAUUAAUCCUCUGGGAGUGAGGCUGACCUAAUUACUCAGAAAUACUGGGCUUGCUUUCAUUCUGUGGAAUACAGCCAUGAGAAAGAGGCCAGCAUGCCAUUUCCUAAUCUUUUCUUGAAUUGCCUGAAACUCACCUAACAUGAAACUGAGAAGCCUUUUCAUUUGAAAGUGGUAUUUCUUAUGUUUUUUAUCUUUUUGCUUGAAAGUAUUCUUAAACUAAAGAAAGGAGAAACAGAAAAGGUGAAGAAGCCAAGAGGCUGGAGUUUCCUUUUGAAUGGAUAUUCAUCCAUGAAGCUGUUGAUUCUGUUUUUCUGUUCCUCCAGAUGUCUACACUUUUACCUCUGCUUGCCUGAUACAACCACCACCAGUCACCUCACAGAAUAACUCACUCCUUAAGAAUCUGAUCAGGAAUCAGCCUUCCCUGAUCACAAACACUGAGUUUAGAAGUCCCUCCACAGUGUCCCCCGUAACCCUGUGCUACCUCACUGCCUCAUAGUUUAGUGCCGUUUGUGUACAUGCCUAUCUUCGUCCAUGGAUCCAGAACAACUUGUAAAAAUGACUGUACUUAUCACCUUCAGUAUUCAAUGACUAAACUAUAAUUUUAACAUAUCUGGCAGAAUGAAUCACUUGGGGAUUUCUGCCAACACUACCAAUAUAUUACUCCUAAUUUGUAAUUAUUACUUAGCAUGGAUUAUAGUACCGGCUGUUGGAGAGCCAAUGUGGCAGACCCUAAGUGGAAUAAAAUGUCAGUAGCAGUCUAGGAGCAUAUAUUUAUUGGAAUAGAUCAUUCAUUCAUUUGUUCAUUAACUAAUUUGUUCAUUAAAUAAACAUUUAUUAAGCAC